GAUGAACGCUGGCGGCGUGCCUAAUACAUGCAAGUCGAACGGGAAUCUUCGGAUUCCAGUGGCGAACGGGUGAGGAAUACAUAGGUAACCUGCCCCUCCGAGGGGGACAACAGACGGAAACAUCUGCUAAGACCGCAUAGCCACAGGGAAGGCAUCUUCCCUGUGCCAAAUGUCCUUUCGGGGACAGCGGGGGGAUGGACCUAUGCCGCAUUAGCUGGUUGGCGGGGCAACGGCCCACCAAGGCGACGAUGCGUAGCCGGCCUGAGAGGGCGGACGGCCACACUGGGACUGAGACACGGCCCAGACUCCUACGGGAGGCAGCAGUAGGGAAUUUUCGGCAAUGGGGGAAACCCUGACCGAGCAACGCCGCGUGAACGAUGAAGGCCUUCGGGUCGUAAAGUUCUGUUGCGAAGGAAGAACGCCGGUGUCAGGAAAUGGGCGCCGGGUGACGGUACUC
rnacentral:rRNA from 1 species